AACGAACGCUGGCGGCAGGCCUAACACAUGCAAGUCGAGCGCGCCCUUCGGGGUGAGCGGCGGACGGGUUAGUAACGCGUGGGAAUAUACCCGGUACUAAGGAAUAGCCUCUGGAAACGGAGAGUAAUACCUUAUACGCCCUUCGGGGAAAGAUUUAUCGGUAUCGGAUUAGCCCGCGUUAGAUUAGAUAGUUGGUGGGGUAACGGCCUACCAAGUCGACGAUCUAUAGCUGGUUUGAGAGGAUGAUCAGCAACACUGGGACUGAGACACGGCCCAGACUCCUACGGGAGGCAGCAGUGGGGAAUCUUGGACAAUGGGCGCAAGCCUGAUCCAGCCAUGCCGCGUGAGUGAUGAAGGCCUUAGGGUCGUAAAGCUCUUUCGCCUGUGAAGAUAAUGACGGUAGCAGGUAAAGAAACCCCGGCUAACUCCGUGCCAGCCGCCGCGGUAA
rnacentral:rRNA from 1 species